rnacentral:lncRNA from 1 species
GAGAGUUAGCUGCUGUGGCAACAACCGCCAUUUUGGUGCACAGUCUCCUCCCACCAAAUUCGCCCACUUCUCUGCCUCGGGUUUUUAGAUACACUUGUUCUGCACAAAAAUUCAAGGUGCCAGAUCUAAAACUUAUUGUUUGAGCUGAUUAAUUUUGCAAUUUGCGCUCAAUGUUUUGUUAAAUUAUAAAAGUUGGUAGUGUUUCAUGAGAUUUCAGUUGGCUAAAGGUACCACUUCAAUGACUAGGAACUCUAAAUUUUCUUAGAAUUUUUUCAUGACUUAGAAAAAUAAUAAAACUCAUUUAUUA